rnacentral:SRP_RNA from 1 species
UCUGUCAGGGCAGGGAGGAAGCAGCGGA